rnacentral:rRNA from 1 species
UUAGAGUUUGAUCCUGGCUCAAGACCAACGCUGGCGGCGCGCCUAACACAUGCAAGUCGAACGAGCGAGAGAGAGCUUGCUUUCUCGAGCGAGUGGCGAACGGGUGAGUAACGCGUGAGGAACCUGCCUCAAAGAGGGGGACAACAGUUGGAAACGACUGCUAAUACCGCAUAAGCCCACGGGUCGGCAUCGACCAGAGGGAAAAGGAGCAAUCCGCUUUGAGAUGGCCUCGCGUCCGAUUAGCUAGUUGGUGAGGUAAUGGCCCACCAAGGCAACGAUCGGUAGCCGGACUGAGAGGUUGAACGGCCACAUUGGGACUGAGACACGGCCCAGACUCCUACGGGAGGCAGCAGUGGGGAAUAUUGCACGAUGGGGGAAACCCUGAUGCAGCGACGCCGCGUGGAGGAAGAAGGUCUUCGGAUUGUAAACUCCUGUUGGUGGGGAAAAUAAUGACGGUACCCAACAAGGAAGUGACGGCUAACUACGUGCCAGCAGCCGCGGUAAAACGUAGGUCACAAGCGUUGUCCGGAAUUACUGGGUGUAAAGGGAGCGCAGGCGGGAAGACAAGUUGGAAGUGAAAUCUAUGGGCUCAACCCAUAAACUGCUUUCAAAACUGUUUUUCUUGAGUAGUGCAGAGGUAGGCGGAAUUCCCGGUGUAGCGGUGGAAUGCGUAGAUAUCGGGAGGAACACCAGUGGCGAAGGCGGCCUACUGGGCACCAACUGACGCUGAGGCUCGAAAGUGUGGGUAGCAAACAGGAUUAGAUACCCUGGUAGUCCACACCGUAAAACGAAUGAUUAAUAGGUGUUGGAGGAUUGACCCUUUCAGUGCCGCAGUUAACACAAUAAGUAAUCCACCUGGGGAGUACGACCGCAAGGUUGAAACUCAAAGGAAUUGACGGGGGCCCGCACAAGCUGUGGAGUAUGUGGUUUAAUUCGACGCAACGCGAAGAACCUUACCAAGUCUUGACAUCCCUUGACAGACAUAGAAAUAUGUAAUCUCUUCGGAGCAAGGAGACAGGUGGUGCAUGGUUGUCGUCAGCUCGUGUCGUGAGAUGUUGGGUUAAGUCCCGCAACGAGCGCAACCCUUAUGGUCAGUUACUACGCAAGAGGACUCUGGCCAGACUGCCGUUGACAAAACGGAGGAAGGUGGGGAUGACGUCAAAUCAUCAUGCCCUUUAUGACAUGGGCUACACACGUACUACAAUGGCGUUAAACAAAGAGAAGCAAGACCGCGAGGUGGAGCAAAACUCAGAAACAACGUCCCAGUUCGGACUGCAGGCUGCAACUCGCCCGCUCGAAGUCGGAAUUGCUAGUAAUCGUGGAUCAGCAUGCCUCGGUGAAUACGUUCCCGGGCUUUG